rnacentral:sRNA from 1 species
GCCGGGCACAGUGACGCAUGCCUGAAAUCCCAGCGGCUCGGGAGGCUGAGGCAGGAGGAUCAAGAGUUCAAAGCCAGCCUCAG